GACGAACGCUGGCGGCGUGCCUAAUACAUGCAAGUUGAGCGCUGACGGUUGGUACUUGUACCAACUGGAUGAGCAGCGAACGGGUGAGUAACGCGUGGGGAAUCUGCCUUUGAGCGGGGGACAACAUUUGGAAACGAAUGCUAAUACCGCAUAAAACCUUUAAACACAAGUUUUAAGUUUGAAAGAUGCAUUUGCAUCACUCAAAGAUGAUCCCGCGUUGUAUUAGUUAGUUGGUGAGGUAAAGGCUCACCCAGGCGAUGAUACAUAGCCGACCUGAGAGGGUGAUCGGCCACCUUGGGACUGAGACACGGCCCAAACUCCCACGGGAGGCAGCAGUAGGGAAUCUUCGGCAAUGGACGAAAGUCUGACCGAGCAACGCCGCGUGAGUGAAGAAGGUUUUCGGAUCGGAAAACUCUGUUGGUAGAGAAGAACGUUGGUGAGAGUGGAAAGCUCAUCAAGUGACGGUAACUACCCAGAAAGGGACGGCUAACUACGUG
rnacentral:rRNA from 1 species